rnacentral:misc_RNA from 1 species
AACGCACAUUGCGCCCGCCGGCAUUCCGGCGGGCACGCCUGUUCGAGCGUCAUUUCAACCCUCGCGCCCCGCGCGGUGAUGGGGAUCCGCGGCACCGCGGGCCCUGAAAAGCAGUGGCGGCACCGCCUGGAACGCAGCGUAGUAAAACACCUCGCUAGCGGCUCUAGGUGUUGCCCGCCGUUAACACUCCCUUAGAGUUGACCUCGGAUCAGGUGGGAAUACCCGCUGAACUUAA